CUGCAAAAGAAUCACAACAAUACAGUGAUUACUGUCUCGUGGUGCCAAAGUGCUUCACAAGUUGCAUUUAUGGAGACUUCUUUAAAACUCUUUUUAAAACAGGUUAAUUUUGUCCACAUCAACUUUUACAAAACAGGGGCCGAAGUCAGCAAAUUAUUUUAGUAAUUUUUCAAAUUUCAUUCUUGAAUUAUUCUGACUUUUGUCCAGUCUCUUAGCAUUUCUAGAAGCAUUAGACAAAAAGUCACAAUUAUUCAAAGAAAUCUGAUUUUUUUUUUAGAUAAUUCUUUCAAUAUUCAACACUAAACAUAAUUUAAAAGUCAAUUUUAAUAUUGUUUUUUACCUUUCUGGAACAGACACGAUGGUUUGAUGACAGCAUAUGACACAUUCAAGACACUAUCUGCUGUCAUGGUGUGAGUUAAAUCACAGGUUUUACAAGACCAACCUUAAAUCGGUGUCAACUUUUUUAGUGUCCUGUUGGGAAAACACAAUGAUUACUUGCAUACGGAAAAAAUCUUACAUCCAUAAAACUGACAAUUAAAACAUUCGUCAUCUCAAGAGCUUUAAUCAUACAUAGAAAUUUAGUUCAACAGUACCAUUCGUUUAGAAUGUUUUAGCAGUAUGUAUAUUUAGUGUAAAGAGCAUUAUGUUUUUUUGUCCUUUUAUUUUUGAUGAGGAUUAUCCAUAAGGAUGAUAGGAGCUUUUAGAAAUACACCAGAGAAGAGAGAGGAGAG